rnacentral:rRNA from 1 species
CGAACGCUGGCGGCGUGCUUAACACAUGCACGUCGAACGGUAAGGCCCCUUCGGGGGUACACGAGUGGCGAACGGGUGAGUAACACGUGGGUGAUCUGCCCUGCACUUCGGGAUAAGCCUGGGAAACUGGGUCUAAUACCGGAUAGGACCACGCUCUGCAUGGAGUGUGGUGGAAAGCUUUUGCGGUGUGGGAUGGGCCCGCGGCCUAUCAGCUUGUUGGUGGGGUGAUGGCCUACCAAGGCGACGACGGGUAGCCGGCCUGAGAGGGUGUCCGGCCACACUGGGACUGAGAUACGGCCCAGACUCCUACGGGAGGCAGCAGUGGGGAAUAUUGCACAAUGGGCGCAAGCCUGAUGCAGCGACGCCGCGUGGGGGAUGACGGCCUUCGGGUUGUAAACCUCUUUCAGUACCGACGAAGCGCAAGUGACGGUAGGUACAGAAGAAGCACCGGCCAACUACGUG